CUGCUGCCUCCCGUAGGAGUUUGGGCCGUGUCUCAGUCCCAAUGUGGCCGUUCACCCUCUCAGGCCGGCUACUGAUCGUCGGUUUGGUGGGCCGUUACCCCGCCAACUGCCUAAUCAGACGCGGAUCCAUCUCACACCACCUCAGUUUUUCACACUGUCCCAUGCGAGACUGUGCGCUUAUGCGGUAUUAGCAGUCAUUUCUAACUGUUAUCCCCCUGUGUGAGGCAGGUUAUCCACGCGUUACU
rnacentral:rRNA from 1 species